rnacentral:rRNA from 1 species
UACGUAGGGGGCAAGCGUUGUCCGGAUUUAUUGGGCGUAAAGAGCUCGUAGGUGGUUUGGUAAGUCGGAUGUGAAAUCUCCAGGCUCAACCUGGAGGGGUCAUUCGAUACUGCCAUGACUAGAGGUAUGCAGGGGAGAACGGAAUUCCUGGUGUAGCGGUGAAAUGCGCAGAUAUCAGGAGGAACACCGGUGGCGAAGGCGGUUCUCUGGGCAUGAUCUGACGCUGAGGAGCGAAAGUGUGGGGAGCGAACAGG